rnacentral:rRNA from 1 species
AUUGAACGCUGGCGGCAGGCUUAACACAUGCAAGUCGAGCGGUAACAGAGAGAAGCUUGCUUCUCUGCUGACGAGCGGCGGACGGGUGAGUAAUGCCUAGGAAUCUGCCUAGUAGUGGGGGAUAACUUGCCGAAAGGUAAGCUAAUACCGCAUACGUCCUACGGGAGAAAGGAGGGGACCUUCGGGCCUUUCGCUAUUAGAUGAGCCUAGGUCGGAUUAGUUAGUUGGUGAGGUAAUGGCUCACCAAGACCGCGAUCCGUAACUGGUCUGAGGGGAUGGUCAGUCACACUGGAACUGAGACACGGUCCAGACGCAUACGGGAGGCAGCAGUGGGGAAUAUUGGACAAUGGGGGGAACCCUGAUCCAGCCAUGCCGCGUGUGUGAAGAAGGUCUUAGGAUUGUAAAGCACUUUAAGUUGGGAGGAAGAGCAGUUAACUAAUAUUUGACUGUUUUGACGUUACCGACAGAAUAAGCACCGGCUAACUUCGUGCCAGCCGCCGCCGUAA